UAGCUCAGCGGCAGAGUGCAUGCCUUGCAAGCAUGAGGCCUUGGGUUCGAUUCCUUA
rnacentral:tRNA from 1 species